AUUUGAGUAGCUUAUAUAAAAGAGCAUAACACUGAAGAUGUUAAGGAAAUAUUUUUAUUCUUGAGUA
rnacentral:tRNA from 1 species